rnacentral:rRNA from 1 species
CCUACGGGGAGCAGCAGUGGGGAAUAUUGGACAAUGGGCGAAAGCCUGAUCCAGCCAUGCCGCGUGUGUGAAGAAGGCCUUCGGGUUGUAAAGCACUUUCAGUGGGGAAGAAAGCCUUGGGGCUAAUACCCUCGAGGAAGGACAUCACCCACAGAAGAAGCACCGGCUAACUCCGUGCCAGCAGCCGCGGUAAUACGGAGGGUGCGAGCGUUAAUCGGAAUUACUGGGCGUAAAGCGCGCGUAGGCGGUCUGAUAAGCCGGUUGUGAAAGCCCUGGGCUCAACCUGGGAACGGCAUCCGGAACUGUCAGGCUAGAGUGCAGGAGAGGAAGGUAGAAUUCCCGGUGUAGCGGUGAAAUGCGUAGAGAUCGGGAGGAAUACCAGUGGCGAAGGCGGCCUUCUGGACUGACACUGACGCUGAGGUGCGAAAGCGUGGGUAGCAAACAGGAUUAGAUACCCUUGUAGUC